UUGACCUAAUGAUACAUAAAUGAAGAUUAUGUCAGAAAAUUCUUGUUUCAACCCAAAAUCUUGAGAUUGAACUUGUUUUCAGAAUUUAAAUUAUGUUCUUCGAUUGAAAUAGUUUCUCUUUUCAGUAAAUGUAUGAUCAGAAGCAGAGAAGAUUAGUGGCAGGAUAUGGAACUGAAUAUUCAGUGGAUAGCUAAACCCAGAAUUCUCAUAGAGGGCCGUAUAGCAUGCGAGAUCAUCUUCAGUGAACCAGUGUGGCAAGGGAGUGGAUGGCUCCACAAGGUCCAUGAUCUCCUGAUCCUCCUCUGCAACCUGGAGUUCCCUCCUACAGAACAGUCAGAAGAAAGUUGGGGGUUGUAGUUUAGCGGGCUGUCAAGUAUUUGUUUUUUCCUCUAGUGUAUUUGAGUUGUAUUUUCUACCUUGUCGUAGUCCUUGAAGUUGUAUUUAGAAGUUGAUGUAU